GGGUUGUGAGGUUAAGCGACUAAGCGUACACGGUGGAUGCCCUGGCAGUCAGAGGCGAUGAAGGACGUGCUAAUCUGCGAUAAGCGUCGGUAAGGUGAUAUGAACCGUUAUAACCGGCGAUUUCCGAAUGGGGAAACCCAGUGUGUUUCGACACACUAUCAUUAACUGAAUCCAUAGGUUAAUGAGGCGAACCGGGGGAACUGAAACAUCUAAGUACCCCGAGGAAAAGAAAUCAACCGAGAUUCCCCCAGUAGCGGCGAGCGAACGGGGAGCAGCCCAGAGCCUGAAUCAGUGUGUGUGUUAGUGGAAGCGUCUGGAAAGGCGCGCGAUACAGGGUGACAGCCCCGUACACAAAAAUGCACAUGCUGUGAGCUCGAUGAGUAGGGCGGGACACGUGGUAUCCUGUCUGAAUAUGGGGGGACCAUCCUCCAAGGCUAAAUACUCCUGACUGACCGAUAGUGAACCAGUACCGUGAGGGAAAGGCGAAAAGAACCCCGGCGAGGGGAGUGAAAAAGAACCUGAAACCGUGUACGUACAAGCAGUGGGAGCACGCUUAGGCGUGUGACUGCGUACCUUUUGUAUAAUGGGUCAGCGACUUAUAUUCUGUAGCAAGGUUAACCGAAUAGGGGAGCCGAAGGGAAACCGAGUCUUAACUGGGCGUUAAGUUGCAGGGUAUAGACCCGAAACCCGGUGAUCUAGCCAUGGGCAGGUUGAAGGUUGGGUAACACUAACUGGAGGACCGAACCGACUAAUGUUGAAAAAUUAGCGGAUGACUUGUGGCUGGGGGUGAAAGGCCAAUCAAACCGGGAGAUAGCUGGUUCUCCCCGAAAGCUAUUUAGGUAGCGCCUCGUGAAUUCAUCUCCGGGGGUAGAGCACUGUUUCGGCAAGGGGGUCAUCCCGACUUACCAACCCGAUGCAAACUGCGAAUACCGGAGAAUGUUAUCACGGGAGACACACGGCGGGUGCUAACGUCCGUCGUGAAGAGGGAAACAACCCAGACCGCCAGCUAAGGUCCCAAAGUCAUGGUUAAGUGGGAAACGAUGUGGGAAGGCCCAGACAGCCAGGAUGUUGGCUUAGAAGCAGCCAUCAUUUAAAGAAAGCGUAAUAGCUCACUGGUCGAGUCGGCCUGCGCGGAAGAUGUAACGGGGCUAAACCAUGCACCGAAGCUGCGGCAGCGACGCUUAUGCGUUGUUGGGUAGGGGAGCGUUCUGUAAGCCUGCGAAGGUGUGCUGUGAGGCAUGCUGGAGGUAUCAGAAGUGCGAAUGCUGACAUAAGUAACGAUAAAGCGGGUGAAAAGCCCGCUCGCCGGAAGACCAAGGGUUCCUGUCCAACGUUAAUCGGGGCAGGGUGAGUCGACCCCUAAGGCGAGGCCGAAAGGCGUAGUCGAUGGGAAACAGGUUAAUAUUCCUGUACUUGGUGUUACUGCGAAGGGGGGACGGAGAAGGCUAUGUUGGCCGGGCGACGGUUGUCCCGGUUUAAGCGUGUAGGCUGGUUUUCCAGGCAAAUCCGGAAAAUCAAGGCUGAGGCGUGAUGACGAGGCACUACGGUGCUGAAGCAACAAAUGCCCUGCUUCCAGGAAAAGCCUCUAAGCAUCAGGUAACAUCAAAUCGUACCCCAAACCGACACAGGUGGUCAGGUAGAGAAUACCAAGGCGCUUGAGAGAACUCGGGUGAAGGAACUAGGCAAAAUGGUGCCGUAACUUCGGGAGAAGGCACGCUGAUAUGUAGGUGAAGUCCCUCGCGGAUGGAGCUGAAAUCAGUCGAAGAUACCAGCUGGCUGCAACUGUUUAUUAAAAACACAGCACUGUGCAAACACGAAAGUGGACGUAUACGGUGUGACGCCUGCCCGGUGCCGGAAGGUUAAUUGAUGGGGUUAGCGCAAGCGAAGCUCUUGAUCGAAGCCCCGGUAAACGGCGGCCGUAACUAUAACGGUCCUAAGGUAGCGAAAUUCCUUGUCGGGUAAGUUCCGACCUGCACGAAUGGCGUAAUGAUGGCCAGGCUGUCUCCACCCGAGACUCAGUGAAAUUGAACUCGCUGUGAAGAUGCAGUGUACCCGCGGCAAGACGGAAAGACCCCGUGAACCUUUACUAUAGCUUGACACUGAACAUUGAGCCUUGAUGUGUAGGAUAGGUGGGAGGCUU
rnacentral:rRNA from 1 species